GAUGAACGCUGGCGGCGUGCCUAAUACAUGCAAGUCGAGCGAACAGAUAAGGAGCUUGCUCCUCUGACGUUAGCGGCGGACGGGUGAGUAACACGUGGAUAACCUACCUAUAAGACUGGGAUAACUUCGGGAAACCGGAGCUAAUACCGGAUAAUAUAUUGAACCGCAUGGUUCAAUAGUGAAAGACGGUUUUGCUGUCACUUAUAGAUGGAUCCGCGCCGCAUUAGCUAGUUGGUAAGGUAACGGCUUACCAAGGCAACGAUGCGUAGCCGACCUGAGAGGGUGAUCGGCCACACUGGAACUGAGACACGGUCCAGACUCCUACGGGAGGCAGCAGUAGGGAAUCUUCCGCAAUGGGCGAAAGCCUGACGGAGCAACGCCGCGUGAGUGAUGAAGGUCUUCGGAUCGUAAAACUCUGUUAUUAGGGAAGAACAAAUGUGUAAGUAACGAUGCACGUCUUGACGGUACCUAAUCAGAAAGCCACGGCUAACUACGU
rnacentral:rRNA from 1 species